rnacentral:piRNA from 1 species
UGUAGCGUCAUUGUACUUCCUGGUGCUCCC